UACGUAGGGUGCGAGCGUUGUCCGGAAUUACUGGGCGUAAAGAGCUCGUAGGUGGUUUGUCGCGUUGUUCGUGAAAACUCACAACUCAAUUGUGGGCGUGCGGGCGAUACGGGCAGACUGGAGUACUGCAGGGGAGACUGGAAUUCCUGGUGUAGCGGUGAAAUGCGCAGAUAUCAGGAGGAACACCGAUGGCGAAGGCAGGUCUCUGGGCCAUAACUGACGCUGAGAAGCGAAAGCAUGGGGAGCGAACAGG
rnacentral:rRNA from 1 species